AUUUAAGAAGAUUGAAAGCUAGUGGUAUUAAAAAAAGGAAACAAGUUUUAAAUUCUACAGAUACCGAACGAACCCAUUAGAAUUAAAAAUUAUUCUAUCACUUUGGACGAAAUGCAGUAGGCCUUUUUCCUUUGAGAAACCCAAAGAAGAAAAGAUUAGUUAUAUUACUGGUAUCUCAUCUGCAGGAAGGCCAGAAUUCAUCAACACCAAAGCUUGAGAAGACUGAAAAUGGAUCUUCAAUCACACGAACAAGAGAGUGAAUCGAUUAAGCUGAAUGAGAGGAUCGAAAAACUAGGCAAAACAGUGACGCAUCUGGAAACAACUAUGAUGCUGCUGGUGAUGGGUUAUAUUUUCUUCCAGGGCGCCAUAUUCUCGUCGAUUUUCCACAAUCCCAGCAACAUGUCGUGCGAGUAUUGGUGGAUUCCUUUCUCCCUCUCCGGUCUGAUUUGCGUCAUCUUCGCCAUCCCAUUUCAGUCUUAUGUCAGAAAUUGGGAGCGAACAAAACAUUAUUACUCCUCGACCUUUCUAAAGCAAGAUUUGCUUCACCACAGGAUGGUCACUUCCUCCUCAGUCGAAACCAGGAUGCAUGAUAUGCCGCAGCCGCAGGGAAUAUUGAAGAGCGAUAGGGCACAAGUUUAUCAGAGAAACGCAUUCAUAUGCCUAGUUUCUUUAGCCCUUCUGGCCUACACCAUCCUUAUUUUGAAGGCAUGCCGAUCCAUUCCCUGCCACGGAGAUGCUACACCUUAGACAUAUAUACAUAUGUGUGAGAACGCGCCGUUCGGUAGUACCGAACCGAAGACUUUUGUUGUGAGGGUACCAAAUAAACCAACGACGGCAAGGCUAUUCUCGAAACUUUCCUUGGUGCUUCGUUGCUGAUGUAAUAUUAACCCUUACAAAGUUACUUUGCUUUGUGGUUAAUUUGGGCUUAACGCCCCAUCCCCCAAGCCAAACUUAAAAGGAAGAAAAAAGAAGAAAAAAAACCCUGGUCAUUUGAGUAUUCUGAUGUUCAUCUUUUGGGGUUCGCUUGUAAAUUAUUUAAUUUGAUAUGAAUUCAUGUAUUUUCAUAUAAAGUCAGAUUUGACCACUUGUCGUGUUUUGAAUUUUAUCAGGUGAAAUUACAUGGGUUAGACCAAUUGGCAGGGCUGUGAUCCCGGUCCUGAA